rnacentral:rRNA from 1 species
GACAGAGGGGGCAAGCGUUGCUCGGAAUCACUGGGCGUAAAGGGCGCGUAGGCGGGAUGGCAAGUCGGUCGUGAAAUCCCUCGGCUCAACCGAAGAACGUCGGCCGUUACUGCCGUUCUUGAGGGAUGCAGAGGAGAUUGGAAUUCCCGGUGUAGCGGUGAAAUGUGUAGAGAUCGGGAGGAACACCGGUGGCGAAGGCGGGUCUCUGGGCAUCUCCUGACGCUGAGGCGCGAAAGCGUGGGGAGCAAACGGG